AUGCCGAGCAAGCCAAGCAGCGCCAUGGCCGCGGCCGCGGCCGCGGCCUCUCCGGAGGGUGGCGGCGGAGUCGCACGCCUGGAAGCCCUGGCCAUGGACAAGGUGGCGGAGGCGGCCGACGCAGUCGCCAUAGCGUCGAGCGCCGGCGAGGUGGUCCGCGCGAUCCACGCCGUUGCUGUCCUCCUCUUCCCCAUGGACUCCGCCACUGUCUCUGGCACCUUGGACGAGCCCAUCAAAAGCCAGAUUAUCAGUGUUCUGAGCCUCAGCCAUGAUGAAAGGGAGUCUUGGAGGCGUGCUUUUUAUCAUGGUCCAGCAUUUCCUACUAUGUCUAAGAUAUUACUUGGCAAUAUUGCUUUGAAGUGGCUACGGCAGAUUCACAACACUGCAAGGAAGGAAGUCUACGAUUCCUUUUUUGUCAGAGGACCUCCUACUGAAGUGAUUCAGGCUCUUGUUCCAGCUUUAUCUCAAAAUGAAAACUCUAAGGAGGAUCAUAACAUUUUUUGUUUGAACAUUGAAAGGCUAUUAGUUUUAUGCUUGCUUGAGAAUAAGGGGGUGGGCCAGAUUGUUGCAGAGUUUAUGUUUUUCAAUAAGCAUAAUGAUGGUGUUCUCAACCCAGAUAGAACAAUUUUCAUUUCAAGGGUUGCACAACUACUUGCAUCUGUUCCAGAUAAAGCAAGAAUGGGAGCCUCAUCUGCGCUUACAUCAUCGUCAUUCUUCAAGAGUGUUGUCAGCCAACUUCUUGUUCGAGCGGAAGAAGCAGCUAUUGAGUCGUCUGCUAACAAAGAUGCUAAUGAACAGGAUACGCUAAGUUCUGUGUUGCUCUUUGUGGGUGAAGUGUUAUCCCGUGUUAGCCGUCGUGGAUCUACUGCCAUUUUAGUUGCUGAAUUGAUCCCUAUGAUCCGUAAUCACUUACAAAGAUGUGUAGCACCAGACCGUAAGACGAUAAUUCCUGACAUGAUCAAGCAUGUUCCUCAGUCUCGGUUUUGGUUCAAUGUGAUUGAAGCAUUGAAAGAUCAGCACUCUAUUGAAAGAUUGACUGAAGAGAUGUUGCGCCAACUUGCAUCACACCAUUUAAAUGAUGAAGAAGUGUACUGGAUUUUGUGGACUCUGUUUAAUCAGAGUAUCAUGCAUAUUGCUGUUAUGAGGGCAAUGUUUAUUGACAAAUUUUUGCUUUGGAAAACAUUUCCAUUAUGCUGCCUGAGAUGGAUUCUUCAUUAUGCUGUCUUUGAAUUCCCACCAAAUUCAUUCGCAGAAGCUCAAAUGAGAAGGACAUCAAACUUCCUGGUUACACUGCAAAGUUUAGUUACUGUUUGGUCCAAGAAAGAGUUUGUUCAGUCAUAUUCAGUGGAGCAACAAGCUUAUAUCACUGCAGCAAUAGGGUUAUGUUUGGAGAACAUGUCAAAAGAAGAAUUAGAAAUGAAUAGAGAUGUAUUAAAUUGUAUUCUUCAAGGAGUAAGCUGUAGGUUAGAGAGCCCAAUUGAUUUAGUCCGGAGGAUGGCAAGUGCUGUUGCAUUGACAUUUUCUGAAGUCGUUGAUCCAAAAAAUCCUCUUUACCUUGAUGAUGACUGUUCUGAGAAUGUUGACUGGGAGUUUGGGGUUCUCUCUCCAAAGGAGAUCACAGCUCCUUCACAUGAUGUAGAAUUUGGAAGCAAAUCUAAACCAUGUCCACGUAAGAACAUGAAAUAUGCUGGUGACAAAAAGGGGAAGACUAUCAAGCAUGAUAUUUCAGUUAACAGAGUAAAAAUCAUAGAGAUCAAGUCAAAACUAGAUUCUGAUGAAAUGUCUGGCGCUGCUAUAAAUUUUGAGGAACAUUAUGACGAGGAAAGCAUUAACAUUGAUGCUUCCAGUGAUACAUCCCUGGAGCCGUAUGAUCUGUCAGAUGAUGACAUUGAUUUGCAGAAGAAUUUCACACAUCUAAGUGAUCUUGCAGCUGCACUGCGAAAACCUGAUGAUCUAGAUGGUGUUGAAAGCGCUCUUAGUUGUACCUUCCAGACAAAACUACUGCAUGAUCCUGACCUUUCUUUCUUUUGUCUUCACAAGGUUGAAAGCGCUCUUAGUUCUGCCGAAAAGCUUGUGAGAGCAUCACCUGAUGAGCUGCGCCACUGCUCGGGUGAUCUUGUUCAAGCACUGGUACAUGUUCGUUGUUCUGAUGUCGCGAUGGAAGGCGAGGAAGAUUCUGCUGAAGAAAAGCGACAGAAGGCAUUAGUCGCAUUGCUGGUAACCAGCCCAUUUGAAUCAUUAGAUGUUCUUACCAAAUUGCUAUAUUCAUCGAGUGUGGAUAUAAGUCAGCGUAUUUUAGUUAUUGAUGUUAUGACUGAGGCAGCACAGGAGCUUGCUGAAACUAAAAUUGUAGAGAGUGAACAGCGGCAUGGGAACUUGAUAUCCGAUACUUCUCCGUCUUGGCUGGUUCCUAGGGACAGCGGACCUGUUGGGGCAAGCCCUUGGAGAGAGGUAUCAGAAACAGGAUCACUUCUGAAAAAUUGGUCACACCGGUAUGAAAGAGAAGUUCCAUCUAGACCAGGCCAGGUUAAAUCAGGAAAAUCUCGCAAAUGGGGUCUUGGGAAAGCAAAAGAUUCGCAGGUGGAGCGGUCAAAAAACAGAUUUCCUUUGUAUGCUGCUGCAUUUAUGCUCCCGGUUAUGGAAGGAUAUGACAAGAGAAGACAUGGGGUGGACUUGCUCAAUCGGGAUUUUGUUGUCCUAGGUAAAUUGAUAUACAUGCUUGGUAUCUGUAUGAAGUGCAUGGCAAUGCAUCCGGAAGCAUCAGCCAUUGCCCCAGCUCUUCUGGAUAUGAUAAGAGCCAGGGAGGUCUCGCAACAUGCCGAAGCAUAUGUGCGAAGGUCUGUGUUGUUUGCAGCUUCUUGUGUAUUGAUAGCCUUGCACCCGUCAUAUGUUGCAUCAGUUCUUAUAGAAGGCAACCAGGACAUUUCUACUGGUUUAGAAUGGAUACGUACAUGGGCCUUGCGCAUUGCUGAUGCUGAUCCUGAUAAAGAGUGCACAUCGAUGGCCAUGAACUGCCUGCGGCUCCAUUCAGAGAUGGUGCUCCAGACAUCCCGCGCCCUGGAAUCUGCGGAACAUUCCAAGGCCGGCACCAGGGCACUACCUUCUAAGCUCGAUAACAUUAUAAUACCAUUUGCAAACAUGAUGUGA
rnacentral:rRNA from 1 species